GUGAGAGAGAAGAGUGGAGGCUGGUUCUCAGGCUCCAGAAGCAUAAGCCUGCAUGGAGCAUAGCGUCACUGAGCAAGACAGGUGUGGAGGAUGAGAAGCGGGCCACAGGAUGGGAAGGGAAUCUGUGUGGAGGCGGUGCCCUAAACAUGCUGCCUUGAGGAGGGACCUCUACAUGGGGUGGCCGGGCACAGCCAGAUGUCCCUGGAGACAGCGCCAUCUGGUGGAACUUCCUGUAACGAUCGAGAUGUUCCGUCUGUGCCGUCCAACAUGGGAGCCAUGCAGGACACAUGGUGACUGAGCACUGGGACUGUGUGCCGCGUGACCAAGAGCAGCUCAGCUCUAAAGUCUCCUCCAGCUUUAUGAUGUCACUUCCUGUAUCUUCUCUACACAUUCUUUCCUUCAGC
rnacentral:lncRNA from 1 species